rnacentral:lncRNA from 1 species
CUGCUACCAGGGCGGGCGCGCGCGUCCAUCCCUACUCGGACUCCUCGACGGCGGCCUCCACCCGGAGCAGCACGAAGCCGACGGCGACGCCGACGAGCACGAGGCCGUUCAUGAUGGCGGCGAUCCUGAAGAUCUCCGCCGCGGCGUUCAUCUGGGCGCCGAACGCGCUGCCGCGCCGCGUCUUGCCGGCGGGGCUGAGCGAGGCGACGAUCUUGGCGAAGGAGUAGUCGGCGGUCUUGCGCAUGCCGAGCAUGGUGACCUUGUUGAGCCCCUUGAGGCCGCUGUAGGCGUUCAUGCCCUCCACGUACGUGACGCCGCCGGACGACCUCUUCUUGGCCGCCGGGGCCGCCAGCGACGGGAUCGUUGCCACGGCGAACGACGCCAUUCCUGCGCUCUCGGUGGGCUAGAGCCUGCGAGUCGACAGCGGACGAGCAAAGUGAGAAUUGCAACGCACGGCAACGUCGUGACGCGCUGUGAUGCAGGGAACGGGAAGAAUGCGG